AGAAAGGCUGGUGGCUAGGCACAAGCAAAUUACACCAUUAAUGUCAUCCUGGCGAAUGAAACAAGAGAAUAGUAUUUAUCAGAGAAAGUCUGGUGAGUUGAAGUCCAAGACCCCAGGAAACAACUAGCCCUGCUGGGCUGCCCCUCCUUCGGAGUGGGACUAUAUGAUCCUCAUCAGGCCAAUCCACGUCACAGAAUGGUCUAGGCAUUGGAUGAGUGCCUCAAUCUGAGCCAAUGAAGGUCAUUGCUGAGACAUUUUACUGGUUGCCAGGCUGCAGGCAUCCCAGGCUUCCUGCUGCCCUCAUGUCUACAACCUGUCGUCUGGAACAUUCCAGGAGCCACUUUUAUCACUUGCAGCAAUCUUCUUCAAAUACCACAGACUGGGCAAUUUAUAAAUGAUGGAAGUUUAUUUGGCUCAUGGUUCUGGAGACUGGGAAGUCCAAGAACAUGGCACUGUCAUCUGGAGAGAUGGGAUUUCUGCAACAUGCAGCCCACAACAGAACUGAUGGAGCCUAUGUAGCGAGAAGAGGUCAGAAGCUGCCCAAAGCAGCUCUGAGGCUGGGGUCACUGCACCCACCAGCUGCUGCCUGGAAGAGAAACGGGAAAGGGUGGAUGCACUGUUUUGCAUUUUUUCUCCAGACAACCAAAGAAAUCGGGAUGACAGACAGAGUUCCCUGCCUGGGGAAAACAGCUCUUUCCAACCCAACUUAUAGGAUUGGGAGUGUUGGGGAGGGUGGAGGAGUCAUCCUCGACACACUUAUGUCUGUGCAAGAUGUGGAGAAAAGUAGGAAAGAAGCAGAACUCCAGCACAUCUUCAAAUGGAUGGCCCCUGAAACUGAACAGACAGUACACAAAGGCACACUACAACUUUCUGGGCAAGAGUCUGUGGCUGCAAAGAUGGAAACUGAUUUGUCGAGGACCCUAGGAGGUGAACUGAAACCAGAAAGCAGAAAUGCUGGGAGAGGGUGAAUGAGGCUGGAGAUGGCCUAUACACAUAAUUGUACGGAGAUGAGAAAGGCCACUGGGAUGUAGUACUUUUUUGCCUUUUAGGCCACAUUCAGGGGCUGCUGCAGACAGGGCUGUGCCCAGUAAGCAAGAAUGAAAGGGGCAGGGGCAACCUGAAGCUGUGUGCUUAGGCUCACAAACCUGUCUCCAAAGAAAGUUUUCCAGAUCAUUCUUUUAUAUCCUGUAUGGAAUCAAACAAAAUUACAGUACCUCCUUUUUCAUGACUGAGUCUCUCGGUGAGAACUCGACAUUUCCUUACAGUCAACUCAAAAUUUCCCACUUUGUGGGAAAUGAGUAAUGGGGUUGAGGACAUGCUGCCCCCAAAUACAGCACCUUGGCAUUUGAGAAAAAGCAGAAGCAGUAAAGUCUCUCUGAACUUCUCCCACCCUUUUCUCCUGCAGCUGUUCAUAAAACCUAGGGGAGAUUUUCUGACCUCACCCUGAAGCAGUUCCUAAGAUCCUCACUUUAGAGAUGCCCUCACUAUAUCCAGAAGAAAGAAGCAUCCUUAUCUCCGAACACAAAACGUCACAGAGAAGAAUCUGAACAAACAGGCCUUGCUAAGUUUCCCUUGGUUUUUUACCAUCAGAUCACACUGUUUUGCCCAAUCAUAUUUCUCCACAACUGUCCACUCUUCACUAAACCUAAGAUGUAUAUAUAUAUAUUUCACUGUUUCUUUGGGUUUUCAUUUCCUUAUGAAGACUCAUGUCAUGUAAAACCUACAUUAACUAAAUAUGUCUAAUUUUCUCUGUUAAUCUGUCUUAGGUAAAAGGGACUUCAGCCAUGAACCUAGGAAUGGGGAGAUAAAGAUGUUUUUCCUCCUACAUGGUGAAGAGAAGAGGGUUUGCUAUCACUCUCCUCCCUACCACGUUUCUCUUUUGGAGGCCUGAGUUCAGAACACUUAUAUAGUCAUCACCUUUGAAAUUAGUUUGAAUUUAAUUUCUUACUGAUUUAAAUUUUUUGGAAGUUUCCAUUUAGAUAAAUCUUUUUCACUGGUGGAAUAUCUAGUGAAGGUUGCAGGGGGAUCUAACUGAGAACAUUUUCUUAAUGAUUGUACC
ensembl:lncRNA LINC02200 long intergenic non-protein coding RNA 2200